UUCCCUCCGAAGUUUCCCUCAGGAUAGCUGGAGCCCUUAGUGAGUUCUAUCGGGUAAAACCAAUGAUUAGAGGCAUCGGGGGUGCAACGCCCUCGACCUAUUCUCAAACUUUAAAUAGGUAGGACGGUGCGGCUGCUU
rnacentral:ncRNA from 1 species